AUGGUGAACGUGACGUACGAUGCGGGGGCCAUCCGCGUGCUGUCGAGGUGGGCCGACGCCAAGAUCCUCGGCACCGUGUACGGGGUCGCGCCCAUGGCGGUGUACGAGAUCGACAGGGUGCUGCUCCCGGAGGCGAUCUUCAGCGCGCGGCCCCCCGUCGAGGAGACCCCGCCCGACGCAGAGCCCGCGGCGAGCGCGCCCGGCGCCAAGGGUGGCAACGCGACGACGCCUGGACGUGAGGCGGAUGGGAAGAGCUCUGCGUGCAGGGCAGCGGGUCGGCCCGCGAACUACGUGGCCCCCGCCGUGGCGUUGUGCGCCGCGUCGCUGGUGGCAUUGUGA
rnacentral:rRNA from 1 species